rnacentral:rRNA from 1 species
UCUCAGUUCGGAUUGUAGGCUGAAACUCGCCUACAUGAAGCUGGAGUUGCUAGUAAUCGCGAAUCAGCAUGUCGCGGUGAAUACGUUCCCGGGCCUUGUACACACCGCCCGUCACACCAUGAGAGUUGGCAAUACCCAACGUACGUGAUCUAACCCGCAAGGGAGGAAGCGUCCUAAGGUAGGGUCAGCGAUUGGGGUGAAGUCGUAACAAGGUACC